UAAUCUACCCUAGGGUCUGGGAUAACCUGCCGAAAGCGGGCUAAUACUGGAUAGAGCGAGGAAUCCGUAAUUGGGUUUUUCGGCAAAGGGAGCCUGUAAGGGCCUUUGCCCUGGGAUGAGCCUGCGUCCCAUCAGCUAGUUGGUAAGGUAAUGGCUUACCAAGGCAUUGACGGGUAGCUGGUCUGAGAGGAUGAUCAGCCACACUGGAACUGAAACACGGUCCAG
rnacentral:rRNA from 1 species